rnacentral:rRNA from 1 species
UACAGAGGGGGCAAGCGUUAUUCGGAAUUAUUGGGCGUAAAGGGCGCGUAGGCGGCCUGGCAAGUGGAAGGUGAAAUCCCUCGGCUUAACCGAGGAACUGCCUCCCAAACUGCUUGGCUUGAGACCGGGAGAGGUGAGUGGAAUUCCCGGUGCAGUGGUGAAAUGCGUAGAUAUCGGGAGGAACACCAGUGGCGAAAGCGGCUACCUGGCCCGAUACUGACGCUGAGGUGCGAAAGCGUGGGGAGCAAACAGG